GCAUGCUGCCUUUCCUCACUCUCCUCUGCCAGUUUCCAUAAAGAAGAUAGAGGAUGACACUGACGGGAAAGGAAACAGAGUAGAUAAGAGGGAGCUUGCUAAGUGUGGACACACCUUCAAUACUCUUUUAAGAGCUGUCUAAGGUCGCUUCUUUAUAAGAUUUUCCUGUCUUCUUCAGGUAAAGCUUUUUGAAGUCCUCCGCAUUUUCUUGAUAUCUCUAUGCUCAUCCUUCUUAUGUUGCAUUGUAAUUUGGGGUGAUUAUAUAUUACUUCUCCACUCAUCUCCUCAUUCAUCCCUACCCCACAUCAGACUCUAUACUCUACAAGGCAGAAAAUGUGUCAUCCUUGCUUAUAGACCAGGUCCAGCCUAAUCACAAUGCCUGGCACAGAGUGGACACUCUAGACACCUCUGUUGAACAAAAGAAAAAAAAGGAAAGAAUAAAGAGAACUUUUCCUUCUUCCUUUUGUGUAUCCAUAUGUCCAGAGCACUUCAGAUUUUGUAUACAUUGAUUUCAUGUACCUACUAGGCAAUCAAUUUCAUGGAAGACAUACUGAGUGUCUAGUGUGUUCAGGCAUUGUGAUAGGCAACGUAAGUUACAGAAAGCCAGAAGAUGAGUGCCCUACUCAAGAAGCUUGCCGUCUAACUAGCAACUUGGAUAAUUGCAAAACUAGGUUUCUACUCUCAUUUAAGUACCUAUGGUAUGACCAAGCAAAUACUUAUGCUGUCCAUUAGUGAAAGAGGCCACUGCAACCCUUUUAACCAAAAAGUUGAAGUGAAUUUUCCAUAUGUGCUGCUUGCAUUUUCUCUUGGUACAAAGUUCCAGUCAACAUACAAAACCUCUUUGAAGAAAAAAAAGAAAUAAAAUUUAUGUAGAAAUUUACUUAAUCCUAAGUGAUGGGAGACAAAAAAGUCUUUCACCUCACUCAAACCACAUAAAGGACUUUCAAAAGCAUUUCAGCAUUCCUGGGCUCCGUUCCCGCCACAUAUCCUACUAGCCAGACAAGGAAGUACCUCUUUCCCUAUGUGAAGUCUCUUCUGUUGGACAAUUAGUUCCACGUCUUGGGAUCUCAUUUCCUAAGGUCCUGCCAGUGACCUUCUCUUAAAAACCAUUAAUUCUUGUGAGACUCUGGCCAGGUGAAGUUUGGUCUGGCUCCUGGACAAGGGCGAUCCUGAGCAGUCCUGUGAAGCCUGAAGCAGUAUUGCACAUCGCCCUGAAGUCGGAACAUUUUUGGCCCUGCGAUGACUGGCUCAGUAGGUAAAAUAACUGGAUGAAGCUUCACUGUGUAAGUCAUAACUCUAUAAUCACAGUUGUGUAUGUUUUUUACAAAAAGGAUUUGGCUUUGGGGUGGCAGGCAGCAGUGGUGAGCCCUUCCAGGGAGUUCUUGUGACUCUUGCCAGGGUUAUUUAUACUCGAUGAAAUGGUUCCUUGAGCUCUGCCCAAUGACUGCUUCCCCACCUAUCCACCCAAGCCCCAUCUAAAAUCAAAUCAAACCACACACACCUAUGUCUCUGCCCUCUUUCCCUGAACAGUUGGAGUUUUAUAAGGUUACCUUGGAACUCCUCUGGCCUUUCCUUUAGAGCAGAUCAACACUUGUUGACUAAGACUGGUCCUUUGUUCCAGGGAAAAGAAAAGGUCAAGAGAAGUGAGGAGCAUUUUCUUUUUGACUAUCACCUAAGGAUCUCUAUUUUUCUUCAUUUCAGGCGUAUUACCUUCCAAUGUGUCUACCUGUCUAACAGAGGAAAAUACACAUUCUGAAAGAUGUUCUCUGGCCAAGCACUGUGCUGCAGCUUUCUGGUCUUCGAGGUCGAAUAGGAAUUUAAAGGAAGAGAAAGGGACCAAGAUGGGAAGCAAUGAUGUGUACAAAACAAAAUAAAACAAAACAAAACAAAGGGGCAGCGGGAAAAAGAAGGAGAGAGAAAAAGAAAACGCAGCAACGAAGCAAACAAAUGUAUAGUUACAGAAGACUGGGAACAUUCCAGGCUAUUUCCAUUAUCCGUACCUCUCCAUCAGACCCAAGCUCUUUGAAAGGAACAUAGGACAAACAGAAGAGUUGAAUAAAAUUUAAAAUAAGUGUUUCAAAGCAU
rnacentral:lncRNA from 1 species